UCUCUUGUAAUUGCAGGUGGGGAAUGAACCAGAGUCAGACUUGAUGUUCUGGGAAGAAUUUUGCUAUUUCAUCUCUAAAAAGUCCGAAAGCGCAAUUCAUGAGUUAUCUGACUCGGUUUGGAUAUAGUUUUUGCACAGGUGAAGUACGAAGCCAAGUAUGAAGCUAUGAAGCGUAUGAACAAAGAGUAGCAUAUGUGUUGUAAUAGUAGGCAGUAGUAGGCAUAUCUGGGUUGUGGUGUAGUGUAAAGAUUGUAAUAGACAAAUUUAAUGUUGGUUUGGACGAAUUUCAUUUGCUCCCUAGCCUGUUUAACAUAUUGAUUUUGAAUGUGAUUUGAAUACUUAUGAAA